rnacentral:lncRNA from 1 species
CACAUAGGGUUUUAUAUAAAUAUUCAAGCCAUAUAGAGUCAACACAUAGGGUUUUAUAUAAAUAUUACUGACUAGUCAAUGUAUUACUAUAACUACAUUGGUUAAUUUGUGAAUUUGGCUUCAUUAAAAUGCAAUCUUCAAGGUACUGAUGUAACUUUGUCCCACUUCUCCAUUAUUAUACAAAAGCAAUAGAAAAAUAAAAAUAUCAUCAUGUACUGUCUCUGGUUAGUUUAUUUCAUUUUCUUAUCCCAAUAUGUAAAUAAUGUCAUGCCACUUGUUACAUCUCCUUUGUUGUUUUUUUUUUAACCAAUUGCAAGGUUUAAGUGUAUGUGUUUAGGGGGACUUGUAAUUGUCCCUAAUUAAAUUGUGUUGGGACCAUUGGGUAUGUAAGGUUGAGUUAUAAAGAAUCUUUCAUAAUGGUUAGAUUUGCCUCUCUUAGUGUUCAAUUAAUGUGUUACUGUCAUAUCGAUGUAUAUAAUUAUUUUCUUUCCUUCUUUACACAAGUCUUCAUAUGAGUGUGGUUCAGAGUUUCAAUUCAAGAAUUUUUUUUAAGUAUAAUGAAACUUCAACAAAAUGGAGUCUUAGAUAUCUUAUUUUGUUUAUUUUUUUUUAUUUAAAA